UCGUAUCACACAAGUCUUUCGUUUCUAGCGCUCUGGAACUGGAGCCGGGAGCGUUAGCUGGGAAUUCCGUUGUGUGCUGCCGCUGCCGCUGCCGCUGCUGCUGCUGUUGCUGCUGCCGGCGUCGUUCGUUGCCAGUCACACUAAGAGCAACACCAACACCAACAGCAGUGCUCAGUGUGCGUAUGUGUGCGUGUUGCUUUCUGGUUUGGCAGCUGCUUCUUGGCACACACACACACACACACGCACAGACAUCAGCACACACGCACACAGAAGCGACGCGUCGCGCUUUUACAUUUGUAUAUGUAGGUCUACGUCCGAUUUUACUUUCACUUUUAAAGGUUUACGAACUUUUCUGUUUACAAGUCAACGCUGCUGCCGGCAGCCGACGCGUCGCAGCAGCAGCACCAGCAGCAGCGACGACGACGACGACGCGCAUUUCAAAUGCUUCUCACACACUCAGAGCUCAGGCACAGGCAGACAAUCAGACCGUUGGACGGAUGAUACAAAAGAGGCGAACAGGCGGACGUAUGGACAUACUGAUGGACGGACGGACGGACGGACGGAUGGACAGACGGGCAAAUACAAACAGAGAGCUUUGCGCUUACAUCGCGGAUUGAGAGUCGCCGUCGCACAGUGGCGCAGAUUGCUGUCAAUUCGGCACUCAACUGAAUUUGGCCGCAUUCGCGGCUGUUGCAUACCACUGUGCCGGCUCCUCAUUGGCAUUGGGUUGACUCAUGCCUUGGACGCAUGCGUUAUAUUAUUUAUUGUUGUUGUUAUUCGAUUUGCAGUUGCGGUUGCUCGUGUGCAUCGCAUAAGGAAGUCGCGUGUGCUCAACUUCCUUGACAUUGAAGCGGCAGCAACCGCAACGCCAGCAGCAGCAGCAGCAGCAGCAGCAACAACAACAACAACAAGGUUUAAGUGUAAAUGAACGGCAAGGAUUUUUGCUGCUGCCAAAAGCGAUUGCUGUGUUGCCUCGGAAGUGACAGCGACAGCGGCAGCAACAGCAACUACGCGUCGGCAGAGCUGCCAGCAACAUGUACUGGCAGGUAUGCUGACAUGUACGUGUGUGUGUGUGUGAGUGUGUGUAUGUGUG